GUGCCAGCCGCCGCGGUAAUACGUAGGCAGCAAACGUUGUUCGGAAUUACUGGGCGUAAAGAGUGUGUAGGCGGUUUGGCAAGUUUGGUGUGAAAUCUCCCGGCUUAACUGGGAGGGUGCGCCGAAAACUGCCAGGCUAGAGUAUUGGAGAGGAAAGCGGAAUUCCUGGUGUAGCGGUGAAAUGCGUAGAUAUCAGGAGGAACACCGGUGGUGUAGACGGCUUUCUGGACAAUUACUGACGCUGAGACACGAAAGCGUGGGGAGCAAACAGGAUUAGAAACCCGGGUAGUCC
rnacentral:rRNA from 1 species